GCUAAGAAAAUCAGAGGUUUGAUUCAUUUAUUCUGAAAAGGAAGGAGAAUGUCAAGAUUAGAAUAUUUGAUCUGCACAACGAAAUACAAGGAGGAUGAUCUCUAAAAAAUUAUUUUCGUUCAAGGUUAAAAAUAUUGAUGUAAACGAAAUCCAUUUCCACCACAGAAAUGAUAAAGCUUCCGAAUGAUUCAUUAUAACAAGUCCACCAUUCACAAAGUUUAUACAUAAUAAUAGGCCUGCAAAUAAAAAAAGCCUAAAUUAUUCCGUGUCAGGAAAAAAAAUUGAAAUCCAUGAUUGUUUAUCGAUUUCCUUUCUGGCAAAUGCAACUUGAAGAGUAAUCUCCACAGCCUUUCAACAUAAAUACUAAUGGAUCCAUUAGCAUUUCUGGAGGGCCAUUUAUGGAAAAAGAAAUGACGAUUCUUGAGAAAAAUUUUGAAAACUAACAGCAGAUAUUUCUCAAUGAAACAUAUUUACUAUACAAUCCAAUUAGCAAAACGAGCCAACCCCUAUGAAAAAGACACUACUACCACUAUUUAUUUACAUCAUAUUCUAGGAAGAAAGAGUCGUGGGUAGUAGUUUUAGGUUCAAACUUCAAUGAGAAACCUAACUAUAGGCCGCAUUGAUUCAAAGAAAUGUCAAAGACUAGCUUCAGGCAUAUAUUAUUUACCUGAAAUGUUAAGCAUCUGGGUCCUCUGGCUCGUCAUCAUUACUGACAUCACAAAAGAAGGGAUCCUUGAGAAGAUCAGAGGCUGAAGGUCUUGCCCUUGCCUCAGCUAUGCACUUCUCAAUAAAAGUCUUCACUUCUGGAUUUGUUACCUUGUUCAAGGCUUGGGGCUUCACUCCAGAUGUCACCUUCCUGUAUAUCUUGGCAACACUGUCACAUUCACUGUAUGGUAUCUCUACUGUUACCAUCUCUAGCAAGCACAUUCCGAAAGAGUAUAUGUCCACCAACUCAGUAUAAUCCUCCUCAUACAACUCUGGUGCCAUGUACUCUGGUGUGCCAAUGAUUGAAUGUGCUACGUGGCUCUUCCCCACUAUUGUUGCAAAGCCAAGGUCACCAAUUUUCACCUGGCCUAUAUUUCCAUUGACGAAGAUGUUACUGCAAUUCAGAUCUCUGUGAAUAAUGCAUGGAUCAUGUGUAUGCAGAUACUCUAACCCCUCAAGCACCUGCUUUGACCACUUCUUCAAGGCUUUCAAGGAGACAUGGCGAUGCUUCUCCCUGUAAUUUCUUAAAUUUCCAGAUGUGCACACCUCAGUGAUAAAAUUCAGUGUACUAGGCUCCUCAUCCAACCAAACAUUGUAGCAAACAAUGAUGUACUUGUUCUUUAAUGAUCUCAACAACUUAACCUCUGAGUGGAGCCUGUUGAUGAGUACUGGAUCUUCAAUAAAGUUCCUCAACCGCACCUGAUUCCAUGCCACCUCUAUACCUUCCUCUUGAUCAAAUGCUCGAUAAACCUUCUUCACAGCACCAGCACCAAGCAGAUCAUCAUAUCGCCCAAACCGUCCAGUAGGGUCAACUUCAACAAAUGGUUCCCCAUCUCUAUCCGAUGUAUUGGGCCUUGCAGCUGGCAUCUUCAAAUAUCAAGAUGAAGAGAAAUUCUAUAUGACAAAGACUGAUACAAUCACAAAUCUUCAGAAAACCUCAAAAUUCAGAGAGGCAGAGACAGAGUACUGACUGCUGGUGCAACACAGUCAAAUGGUUCACAAUGUAUUAAUGGAAAUAUAUACUUGUAUAGCUGAAAUAAAUCUCUCCGGUUAUGGUCAAAUAAAACUCAAUGUCUAACGGACAAAAUUUUCAUCUUAUUCACAAAAAAACAAAUGCAGUAACCGACAGAAAAAGAUCUAUUUUGACAAUUUUCACUAACAUGAUAACAAUGUAAAUCAGGGGCAUUAGGAAAAAGAUCCAAAAUCAUGGGUCAAACUGCAUAUUUUCUAUCUAUAGGGUUGAAAGCGUCUAACUAUUAACCUUUCAUCCGAUUCAGGAACUAAAUUCAUUGUCAAGAAGGGAAGAAACCUAAUUAUGAUUAUCUUAAUAAUAUAAUCAACUCAAACAAAUGCCAAUAUGCAACAAACAGAGUGUGGCACUCAAGACUUCAAAUUGAUUUAUAUUUCCAACAUGACAAGGCACAUUUCAUCUAGAGCAUGAAAAUGCUCAAAAAUAGCCAAACCAAGACUUCAAAUGAAGCUCACUUGCAAUGUUCAAACAUCAACAAGCCUAAUCUGUUCAUUCUAGCUGCAAAAUUAACACAUACAGUUUCAAUUUAAACAUAACAGACCAACAAAUACAGAGGAAAGCUCAAUAAGGCCCUCAAAUGGUUCAGUGGAAGCAAAGCUAAUUCACUAGAAAUUAUCAAAACAAAAGUUAUAAAGAAUAAGAACUACAGCUUGGGUUAGCUUGCGUUUAUUUUCCUUGCACUUUCCCAAAAAAAAAGUUAUUUUACUUCUUUUCUUUAAAGUUAAAAACUAAUUUCUCAUACUGUUGUCUUUAUCUAACUUCUUUUUUUCGUAGGAAGUGCAAUUCAUAUAUUUAUCGAAUAAAAGAUAUUUUUGCAGCAAAAUAAAAAUUUAGAUGAUGUACUUCUCAAGAGGCAAAAGGCAAAAGUUUAAAUGAGGAAGAAGAAACAAAAAUCAGAACUGGUAAGAUUGCUAAAACAGAUUGAUGAAAUCAAAGCCCUAAAUCGAAAGCCUAAAUCAUCUCAAAUUCCUAACCAAGGUUUCAAGGAUUUGUUGUGUGCGUAUGUGUGGAGUACACGAUAGACUGAAAAUGACGUAUAUAACAGAGUCACAGAAUAUCAACACGACUUAUACAAAAUUCAUUAAAGAAAACAAAAACUAUAACUAAAGAUUAUAAACUCGAAAUGAAGCUAUAUACUCAUUUUUAUGAUAUUGCAAUACACAUAAUAAUAUAAAGAAGUUUUUGCUUUCUUUCUUUCCAAGAGAAAGAAGCUUAAUAAAUAACUAGAAUUUCGAAUCUCAAACAAAAAAUGAAAGAUGAUCAUAACCGGCUAACCCUAUAAUCAGUUGGAGCUAAAACUCAGUUUCAAGUACCGGAUAGGAGAAAGAUAAAAACGUAAAACCCAAGGAAACACAGUUUUGCUGACAAAAUUAGGGAAAUUGGAGCUCCAGUGAUAACUGAAUCCAAAAUUAGGGUUACCAAGUUGAAAUCUUCAUGCAAGUUUAAAAAAACAGUUCAUGCAUAUCCUCAUAUCACACAACACAAAACACGUAGAGGUAUUAGUUACCUUGAGAAUUCAGGCUAUCAAGCUGAAGAUUUUCAGAAGAACCGACUGGAGGAGAAGGAGAGAUGAUGGGAGGUCGCUGUCAAGUUGCGAGAAGAAACGAAAGAUCACGGAAGUUUAGAAGGG
rnacentral:misc_RNA from 1 species